rnacentral:lncRNA from 1 species
GUAGACCAAAAUUUGGAGGGACCAUAUGAAAGAUAUUGCUUUGUAUGACCCUGGAAUCCUGGCAUGACACAGGCGUGGGGGCUGGGGAGAAUCCCAUUUCACUACUGCACACCUACAGGAGCCCAGCUCUGUGAUAGGCUUUAUGGGGAAUCUUGAACAGACCGAAGACACUGUUCUCUCUGCCUGAAGCUGUGAUCUUGUGAGGAAAGGAGGCCUGAAGAGCAGGAGACUUCUCUCUGUAGCUUCAGGACAUCAUGGGUCAAGAAAUCAGGACUGACCACAUAAUGAGAGGAGUCAUGAGAGAUCAGGCGUGUAUGUAUGAGAAGAGAACUUUCCCAGGUUAACCUCACAUCUUCCUUGGGACACACGAAGGCAUGGCAAAGCAGGAUUGCCCCCAUAGCUCUUCUCAAGCAGUUUCCCUUUCCUCAUUUCCCUUUAGUGUUACUAUCUUUCAUAAAGAAUAAAGACUUGUCAGAGCUGAAAUCCCA